rnacentral:rRNA from 1 species
UACGUAGGGACCGAGCGUUGUCCGGAAUCAUUGGGCGUAAAGAGCGUGUAGGCGGCUAUUUAAGUCCUGCGUGAAAUCCUGCGGCUCAACCGCAGACGGUCGUGGGAAACUGGAUGGCUAGAGUGCGGGAGAGGAGAGUGGAAUUCCCGGUGUAGCGGUGAAAUGCGCAGAUAUCGGGAAGAACACCCGUGGCGAAGGCGGCAUCCUGGACCGGCAUUGACGCUGAGGAGCGAAAGCUAGGGGAGCAAACGGGG